rnacentral:rRNA from 1 species
UCCAGACUCCUACGGGAGGCAGCAGUGGGGGAUAUUGCACAAUGGGGGAAACCCUGAUGCAGCGACGCCGCGUGAGUGAAGAAGUAUUUCGGUAUGUAAAGCUCUAUCAGCAGGGAAGAAAAAAGACGGUACCUGACUAAGAAGCCCCGGCUAACUACGUGCCAGCAGCCGCGGUAAUACGUAGGGGGCAAGCGUUAUCCGGAUUUACUAGGUGUAAAGGGAGCGUAGACGGCAAUACAAGUCGGAAGUGAAAUACCCGGGCUCAACCUGGGAACUGCUUUGGAAACUGUAUGGCUGGAGUGCUGGAGAGGUAAGCGGAAUUCCUAGUGUAGCGGUGAAAUGCGUAGAUAUUAGGAGGAACACCAGUGGCGAAGGCGGCUUACUGGACAGUAACUGACGUUGAGGCUCGAAAGCGUGGGGAGCAAACAGGAUUAGAUACCCCAGUA